rnacentral:rRNA from 1 species
CCCUAAGGCGAGGCCGAAAGGCGUAGCCGAUGGGAAGCGGGUCAACAUUCCCGCGCCAGUCGGGUGGAGACCGGGUCGUGACGCAGGAGGCUAGGCCGGGCCCGCAAUGGAUGCGGGUGCAAGGUAGUAGGGGGACGGGACAGGCAAAUCCGUCCCGUCAUACCCCGAGAGCCGAUGCCGUAAGCCGGCCGACGCCACACUGCCAAGAAACAACGGCACGGUCUGUGAGGCCCGACUGCCCGUACCGGAAACCGACACAGGUGGGCUGGGUUAGGAGCCUAAGGCGUCGGGGGAACUCUCCUCAAGGAACUCGGCAAGUUGGCCCCGUACCUUCGGAAGAAGGGGUGCCCGUGGGGGUGUAGGCCCUCGCGGCCGAAGCCCCCGCGGGUCGCAGUGACAGGGCGGUGCCGACUGUUUACCAAAAACACAGCACUCCGCAAACCCGUAAGGGGAUGUAUGGGGUGUGAAGCCUGGCCAGUGCCCGUAGGUGAACCCCCCGGGUGAUAAGCUCGGGGGUUAAGCCCGGGUAAACGCCGGCCGUAACUAUGACGGUCCUAAGGUAGCGAAAUUCCUUGUCGGGUAAGUUCCGACCUGCAUGAAUGGCCCAACGAGUGCCGCACUGUCUCGAGGAGAGUCCCGCCGAAAUUGGAUUGCCGGUAAAGAUACCGGCUACCCGCGGCAGGACGGAAAGACCCCGUGAAGCUUCACUGCAGCCUGGCAUUGGAGCCCGGCCUGUCCUGCGCAGAAUAGGUGGGAGCCUGGGAAGCCCCCGCUCCGGCGGGGGUGGAGGCGCCAGUGAGAUACCACCCUGGGCAGGUUGGGCUCCUAACCUAGCCGCGUGAAUCCGCGGCGGGGACAGUGCCAGGUGGGCAGUUUAGCUGGGGCGGCUGCCUCCUAAAAGGUAACGGAGGCGCCCAAAGGUCCCCUCAGGCGGGUCGGAAAUCCGCCGUUAGAGUGCAAGGGCAGAAGGGGGCCUGACUGCGAGGCCGACGGGCCGAGCAGAGGCGAAAGCCGGGCCUAGUGACCCACCCGUUCCUCGUGGGAGGGCGGGUGAUCAGCGGAUAAAAGCUACUCCGGGGAUAACAGGCUAAUCGCCCCCGAGAGCCCACAUCGACGGGGCGGUUUGGUACCUCGAUGUCGGCUCCCCCCAUCCUGGGGCUGAAGCAGGUCCCAAGGGUUGGGCUGUUCGCCCAUUAAAGGGGGACGCGAGCUGGGUUCAGAACGUCGCGAGACAGUUCGGUCCCUAUCCGCCGCGGGCGCAGGAGACUUGAGGGGGUGCGCCCCUAGUACGAGAGGACCGGGGCGCGGCAGGCACUGGUGUACCGGUUGUCCCAUGCCUGGGGCAGCGCCGGGUAGCCAUCCUGCUACGGGAUAAGCCCUGAAAGCAUCUAAGGGCGAAGCCUACCCCAAGAUAAGGUCUCCCUGAAGGGCUCCGGGAGACUACCGGGUUGAUAGGCCGCAGGUGGAAGCCCUGUAAGGGGUGAAGCCGAGCGGUACUAAUAGCCCGUUCGGCUUGCCCA